UAGGGAAUCUUCGGCAAUGGGGGGAACCCUGACCGAGCAACGCCGCGUGAGUGAAGAAGGUUUUCGGAUCGUAAAGUUCUGUUGUUAAGGAAGAACGAGUGUGAGAAUGGAAAGUUCAUACUGUGACGGUACUUAACCAGAAAGGGACGGCUAACUACGUGCCAGCAGCCGCGGUAAUACGUAGGUCCCGAGCGUUGUCCGGAUUUAUUGGGCGUAAAGCGAGCGCAGGCGGUUAGAUAAGUCUGAAGUUAAAGGCAGUGGCUCAACCAUUGUAGGCUUUGGAAACUGUUUAACUUGAGUGCAGAAGGGGAGAGUGGAAUUCCAUGUGUAGCGGUGAAAUGCGUAGAUAUAUGGAGGAACACCGGUGGCGAAAGCGGCUCUCUGGUCUGUAACUGACGCUGAGGCUCGAAAGCGUGGGGAGCGAACAGG
rnacentral:rRNA from 1 species